rnacentral:rRNA from 1 species
AGAACGAACGCUGGCGGCAUGCCUAAUACAUGCAAGUCGAACGAACACUUCGGUGUUAGUGGCGCACGGGUGCGUAACGCGUGGGAAUCUGCCCUUGGGUUCGGAAUAACAGUUGGAAACGACUGCUAAUACCGGAUGAUAUCGAAAGAUCAAAGAUUUAUCGCCCAGGGAUGAGCCCGCGUAGGAUUAGCUAGUUGGUGAGGUAAGGCUCACCAAGGCGACGAUCCUUAGCUGGUCUGAGAGAUGAUCAGCCACACUGGGACUGAG